CGCAAUCAUGAGAGUUUGAUCCUAGCUCAGGAUGAACGCUAGCUGUGUGCUUAAUACAUGCAUUUGAACGGGAUAGUAUUUUAGUUUUACUAAAGUAUUGUUUUAGUAGCAAAUGGGUGAGUAACACGUACCUAACCUACCUUUUGGACUGGGAUAACCAUUGGAAACAGUGGCUAAUACCGGAUAUAAUAAAAAUUCACAUGAAUUUUUAUGAAAAGGAGCGAAAAUAAGCUCCACCAAAAAAUGGGGGUGCGCAACAUUAGUUAGUUGGUAGGGUAAAGGCCUACCAAGACGAUGAUGUUUAGCGGGGCCAAGAGGUUGUACCGCCACACUGGGAUUGAGAUACGGCCCAGACUCCUACGGGAGGCAGCAGUAAGGAAUAUUCCACAAUGAGCGAAAGCUUGAUGGAGCGACACAGCGUGCAGGAUGAAGUCUUUAGGUAUGUAAACUGCUGUUGUAAGGGAAGAAAAAAAUUAGGUAGGGAAUGAUCUAAUCUUGACGGUACCUUACUAGAAAGCGACGGCAAACUAUGUGCCAGCAGCCGCGGUAAUACAUAGGUCGCAAGCGUUAUCCGGAAUUAUUGGGCGUAAAGCGUUCGUAGGUUUUUUGUUAAGUUUAAGGUUAAAUGCUAAAGCUCAACUUUAGUCCGCUUUAGAUACUGGCAAAAUAGAAUUAUGAAGAGGUUAGCGGAAUUCCUAGUGGAGUGGUGGAAUACGUAGAUAUUAGGAAGAACACCAAUAGGCGAAGGCAGCUAACUGGUCAUAUAUUGACACUGAGGGACGAAAGCGUGGGGAGCAAACAGGAUUAGAUACCCUGGUAGUCCACGCCGUAAACGAUGAUCAUUAGUUGGUGGCAGAAGUCACUAGCGCAGCUAACGCGUUAAAUGAUCCGCCUGAGUAGUAUGCUCGCAAGAGUGAAACUUAAAGGAAUUGACGGGAACCCGCACAAGCGGUGGAGCAUGUGGUUUAAUUUGAGGAUACGCGUAGAACCUUACCCACUCUUGACAUUCUCGCAAAACUAUAGAGAUAUAGCGGAGGCUAACGAGAUUACAGAUGGUGCAUGGUUGUCGUCAGCUCGUGUCGUGAGAUGUUAGGUUAAGUCCUGCAACGAGCGCAACCCUUUUCUUUAGUUGCUAACAUUAAGUUGAGAACCCUAGAGAUACUGCCGGUGUAAACCGGAGGAAGGUGGGGAUGACGUCAAAUCAUCAUGCCUCUUACGAGUGGGGCAACACACGUGCUACAAUGGCUACUACAAAGAGCAGCAAAACAGUGAUGUCAAGCUAAUCUCAAAAAAGUAGUCUCAGUUCGGAUUGAAGUCUGCAACUCGACUUCAUGAAGUCGGAAUCGCUAGUAAUCGCAGGUCAGCUAUACUGCGGUGAAUACGUUCUCGGGUUUUGUACACACCGCCCGUCACACCAUGGGAGUUGGUAAUGCCCAAAGUCGGUGAGUUAACCUCGGAGACCAUUGCCUAAGGCAGGACCGAUGACUGGGGUGAAGUCGUAACAAGGUAUCCCUACGAGAACGUGGGGAUGGAACACCUCCUUUCUA
rnacentral:rRNA from 2 species